rnacentral:ncRNA from 1 species
UAAAAAACAAUGAAGGGGAAAAGUAGGCCGGACACAGCAUUCCAGGGAGGCAGCGCCGUGACUGAAAGCGCCGCCACUGCAUGACCCGCUGAAGUUCUCCCCCGAGUUGCCGGACUGAAACCAACUGUGGAAAGUAGGCCCGGCCGGAAACUUCCACCGUUAAAAGGAAGGGGGUAUAAGGAUUUAUUCCCGUACCCUGCCGGAGAGUGGGUUUCCCUAAAGGGAAGCCAACUAGGGUGGUAACGCGAAAUAAACUUUUCGUCCCUAAG